rnacentral:rRNA from 1 species
UACGAAGGGGGCUAGCGUUGUUCGGAAUUACUGGGCGUAAAGGGCGCGUAGGCGGCUUAACAAGUCACUUGUGAAAUCUCCGGGCUUAACUCGGAACGGCCAAGUGAAACUGUUAUGCUAGAGUGCGGAAGGGGCAAUCGGAAUUCUUGGUGUAGCGGUGAAAUGCGUAGAUAUCAAGAGGAACACCUGAGGUGAAGACGGGUUGCUGGGCCGACACUGACGCUGAUGCGCGAAAGCCAGGGGAGCAAACGGG